GAUGCCAAUGUCGCCACAAGAGUCUCUGGACCUCUUGUGUGUAUCAAAGUUUGAACUGAAGUAGGGCUGUCAAAAUUAACGUGAUAAUAACGAGAUUUAGGUAAAUUCAUUUUGAACACCACUUAUGUUCCUGAUGCGUGAUUAACGUGUUCUGUGAUUUGGUCCUCGUGCUGCCCCUUAGUUUGUAAAAUCAUGAAGCGUUGCAGCAGUAAUCUUGUGGAUGGCUAGCAGAAACCAAGCUCCUUGGAAGAAAUGCAUAAAGCAGAAGGGUGUUUUGAAUGCCACCGGAGUACGUCGAGUCUCAGAAUCCCCUCUGCUGGCCCGGCAUACGGCGGACGCAGUGAACCCUCCUCCCCUCGCCACAGGCACGCCACGCCUGGACAACUCUGCAAGCAACAAACUUUCAACAGUGACAGUAUUUGUCAUUGUUGUAGACUGUUGCAAUAAUAAUAAACAUUUGCAUAAAGCAAGCAUAUUUGUCUGCGUCCAUGUUGAUGAGAGCAUUAAAAACUUG